AGAUUAAGUUAUUAAGGGCGCACGGUGGAUGCCUUGGCACUAGAAGCCGAUGAAGGACGUUACUAACGACGAUAUGCUUUGGGUAGCUGUAAGUAAGCGUUGAUCCAGAGAUUUCCGAAUGGGGGAACCCAGCAUGAGUUAUGUCAUGUUAUCGACAUGUGAAUUCAUAGCAUGUCAGAAGGCAGACCCGGAGAACUGAAACAUCUUAGUACCCGGAGGAAGAGAAAGAAAAAUCGAUUCCCUGAGUAGCGGCGAGCGAAACGGGAAGAGCCCAAACCAACAAGCUUGCUUGUUGGGGUUGUAGGACACUCUAUACGGAGUUACAAAAGAACAUGUUAGACGAAUCAUCUGGAAAGAUGAAUCAAAGAAGGUAAUAAUCCUGUAGUCGAAAACAUAUUCUCUCUUGAGUGGAUCCUGAGUACGACGGAGCACGUGAAAUUCCGUCGGAAUCUGGGAGGACCAUCUCCUAAGGCUAAAUACUCUCUAGUGACCGAUAGUGAACCAGUACCGUGAGGGAAAGGUGAAAAGUACCCCGGAAGGGGAGUGAAAGAGAACUUGAAACCGUGUGCUUACAAGUAGUCAGAGCCCGUUAAUGGGUGAUGGCGUGCCUUUUGUAGAAUGAACCGGCGAGUUACGAUCUGAUGCAAGGUUAAGCAGCAAAUGUGGAGCCGCAGCGAAAGCGAGUCUGAAUAGGGCGUUGAGUAUUUGGUCGUAGACCCGAAACCAGGUGAUCUACCCUUGGUCAGGUUGAAGUUCAGGUAACACUGAAUGGAGGACCGAACCGACUUACGUUGAAAAGUGAGCGGAUGAACUGAGGGUAGCGGAGAAAUUCCAAUCGAACUUGGAGAUAGCUGGUUCUCUCCGAAAUAGCUUUAGGGCUAGCCUCAAGUGAUGAUUAUUGGAGGUAGAGCACUGUUUGGACGAGGGGCCCCUCUCGGGUUACCGAAUUCAGACAAACUCCGAAUGCCAAUUAAUUUAACUUGGGAGUCAGAACAUGGGUGAUAAGGUCCGUGUUCGAAAGGGAAACAGCCCAGACCACCAGCUAAGGUCCCAAAAUAUAUGUUAAGUGGAAAAGGAUGUGGCGUUGCCCAGACAACUAGGAUGUUGGCUUAGAAGCAGCCAUCAUUUAAAGAGUGCGUAAUAGCUCACUAGUCGAGUGACACUGCGCCGAAAAUGUACCGGGGCUAAACAUAUUACCGAAGCUGUGGAUUGUCCUUUGGACAAUGGUAGGAGAGCGUUCUAAGGGCGUCGAAGCAUGAUCGCAAGGACAUGUGGAGCGCUUAGAAGUGAGAAUGCCGGUGUGAGUAGCGAAAGACGGGUGAGAAUCCCGUCCACCGAUUGACUAAGGUUUCCAGAGGAAGGCUCGUCCGCUCUGGGUUAGUCGGGUCCUAAGCUGAGGCCGACAGGCGUAGGCGAUGGAUAACAGGUUGAUAUUCCUGUACCACCUAGUAUCGUUUUAAUCGAUGGGGGGACGCAGUAGGAUAGGCGAAGCGUGCUGUUGGAGUGCACGUCCAAGCAGUAAGGCUGAGUGUUAGGCAAAUCCGGCACUCAUAAGGCUGAGCUGUGAUGGGGAGAGGAAAUUGUUUCCUCGAGUCGUUGAUUUCACACUGCCGAGAAAAGCCUCUAGAUAGAUAACAGGUGCCCGUACCGCAAACCGACACAGGUAGUCAAGAUGAGAAUUCUAAGGUGAGCGAGCGAACUCUCGUUAAGGAACUCGGCAAAAUGACCCCGUAACUUCGGGAGAAGGGGUGCUCUUUAGGGUUGACGCCCAGAAGAGCCGCAGUGAAUAGGCCCAAGCGACUGUUUAUCAAAAACACAGGUCUCUGCUAAACCGUAAGGUGAUGUAUAGGGGCUGACGCCUGCCCGGUGCUGGAAGGUUAAGAGGAGUGGUUAGCUUCUGCGAAGCUACGAAUCGAAGCCCCAGUAAACGGCGGCCGUAACUAUAACGGUCCUAAGGUAGCGAAAUUCCUUGUCGGGUAAGUUCCGACCCGCACGAAAGGCGUAACGAUUUGGGCACUGUCUCAACGAGAGACUCGGUGAAAUCAUAGUACCUGUGAAGAUGCAGGUUACCCGCGACAGGACGGAAAGACCCCGUGGAGCUUUACUGUAGCCUGAUAUUGAAAUUCGGCACAGCUUGUACAGGAUAGGUAGGAGCCUUUGAAACGUGAGCGCUAGCUUACGUGGAGGCGUUGGUGGGAUACUACCCUAGCUGUGUUGGCUUUCUAACCCGCACCACUUAUCGUGGUGGGAGACAGUGUCAGGCGGGCAGUUUGACUGGGGCGGUCGCCUCCUAAAAGGUAACGGAGGCGCUCAAAGGUUCCCUCAGAAUGGUUGGAAAUCAUUCAUAGAGUGUAAAGGCAUAAGGGAGCUUGACUGCGAGACCUACAAGUCGAGCAGGGUCGAAAGACGGACUUAGUGAUCCGGUGGUUCCGCAUGGAAGGGCCAUCGCUCAACGGAUAAAAGCUACCCCGGGGAUAACAGGCUUAUCUCCCCCAAGAGUUCACAUCGACGGGGAGGUUUGGCACCUCGAUGUCGGCUCAUCGCAUCCUGGGGCUGUAGUCGGUCCCAAGGGUUGGGCUGUUCGCCCAUUAAAGCGGUACGCGAGCUGGGUUCAGAACGUCGUGAGACAGUUCGGUCCCUAUCCGUCGUGGGCGUAGGAAAUUUGAGAGGAGCUGUCCUUAGUACGAGAGGACCGGGAUGGACAUACCUCUGGUGUACCAGUUGUCGUGCCAACGGCAUAGCUGGGUAGCUAUGUAUGGACGGGAUAAGUGCUGAAAGCAUCUAAGCAUGAAGCCCCCCUCAAGAUGAGAUUUCCCAACUUCGGUUAUAAGAUCCCUCGAAGAUGACGAGGUUAAUAGGUUCGAGGUGGAAGCGUGGUGACACGUGGAGCUGACGAAUACUAAUCGAUCGAAGACUUAAUCAAUUUUUUAAA
rnacentral:rRNA from 1 species